GCAACUGCCAACUGGCAACUGGCAACACACAGGUGCCAAUGGCAGCACCACCAGGAUUUGAAUCGGAAUCGGGACCAGUAUCCACCCAUUUUCCUGGAUUCUUCUGGAUUGUCCCACAAAGAGGUCACAAAUGUAAUAAAUUUUUCAGCGGACCCGGCAUAUCCGCCACUCGCAGAUAUUUUAUGGGUCGAUUUCUUCAGCGUUUUUCACAUUGUUUGUUAACACUGGUAAUGUUCGUCCUUUAUGUUUUUAUCUUCAGUGUAAUUAUACGAAUGUUGUAAAUUUAAUCUCCAUUAGAACCAGAAAAGCUUUGAUCCUAGUGCUUGUAUGUUUUAAAGGCAUAAUUUAGCACAUAUUAAUUAUUUGAUUUAAAAUUAAAAAUGUAUAAAAAACGUAUCUAGAAAUAGAUACCAAAUUGAAUUUCUAUAUUCAUUUAUUUAUCACUAAUGGCUUUCGAGAAAAUACUCUGCCCAGGAUGGCUCAUAUUGAAGAUUAAUAUCUUUUUCUCUAAUUUCGCCGAGCUUAAGUUUCUCCAAAGUGCAAUUUUCCCGUUCAAUGCAGCAACCGAACAAUGGUGGCCUUAGAAUGAAGCUCAGCUUACAGCCAGAUGCAGUGGAGCAAAACAGCAAACAGACAAUGGCCCAAAAAAUGCGAGAAGAAACCCAAUUCAAAAUAAUAGGCUAAUAAACUUACUUAGCGUGCGCACAGCUGAUUAGCCCGACCGGCUUUCCACUCUCUUAUGGCAACUGCGUUGGAGAUUUUCCCACCUCCACCCACCCUCCCCUUUCGGUUGGUGGUACAGGCGUCCGCUCUUCACCGCUCAUCCUAAAGCCAAUUUCCCGCCCUCGCACUCCAGCUGCGGCAAAAUUUUAUUAUUGCGCUUCUGCAGCUGCCCGACAACAAAAACGUUCGCCGCGGUCGUUUGCUUAAUGCGCCGCGUGCCUUUCGCCCCUGUCCGAUCCGCCAGAUAGCCACGGCUAUAGCAUGGCUAUAGCUAUAGCCAAAGCUACAGCCAGGGCGAUGGAGAUGAGGAUGGCCGUGACGAUGGCCUUUCGGCGCUUAUGGCUGAGAAAUGCUUUCUUUAUGUAUUAAUAGUACUUUCACUCCCUUUAGCACUCGAAAGUCGGGCUAAGGAUGACAGCGUGAUUGGAGCUUAAUGCCCAACGCCCCUUGAAGUUUGAGUUAAUGCCCGAUGGCAACGACUUCAUAAAGUAUUAAUUUAGUUUGUAAUUUUGCAAAUUGUCUCUUUAUUGGGUAGGAAAAAGUUUAAGUUUUGUUUUGAUGGCUUACAUUUUUUCGUAAAAAAGUUAAAUCUGUUUAAGAAGGAAAGGAAUUUUGUGUCAUCGUAAAAAUUUUUAUUUUAUGGAAAUAUGUGUAAGCUUAGUAAGAAUUUUUCAUUAAAUCGGUCUUCAAAGGAAUACCUUAUUGCUUUAGUGGCAUUGUUAUAAUUAUAUAAACAUAGGAAUGUGUAAAAUAAAUGUUGAAUUAAAUGGAAGUUUCAUACAAGUGCUGGAAACUUAUUUACAAAUACUGCUAUUUGCGAAUAACAUGAUUCAUUCAAAGCCAAGAAGCUUUUCAUUUAGUUGACAGUUCAUUUAAAAUCGAUUUUAAUCUAAUUUAGAGAGCCUCUAAAAGGAGAAAUACGAUUUAAAGUGAUUUUCAGAAAAAUCACACCGACAAAAAAUGUCAAUAAAAUGUGAAUGAUUUACCUAAUCAAAGUGUCGUUAAAAAUAUUUGCAUAGCCAAGAGGAAAAGAAUCUCGUUUUUAGCUCAUAAACAAUUUAUGGCAGCAUGACGUGUUUUAUGUGCUUUUAUUUUGGUUAGGCAAAAAUAUUUUUUUUGAUCGAAGUAGAAAACUAUGCUAACCAUGUUAGGCUAGUGAAAGAGUUAUAAAUAUUUUUGUUUUAUUGAAAUAAACAUAAAACACAAAUUGGUAAAGAUUAAGGAUUGAAAAUAUUAGAAAAGAAAUAAUAAUAAAUUCUUUGUUUUUAAUCAUAAAGUGUUCUUAUAUUUUUCAGUUUAUGACUAUUGCAAGGGUAUAUAAGCUUCGCCUUGGUGAAGCUAGCUUCCUUUCAAGUAUUUUUUACAAUUAAAUAAAACAAUAUUUCGAUUGAUAGAUUGAAAAUAAAAAGUGACGGGUACCCAAUAUUUUAAGUAAACUAUUGUGAUUGUAUUGUAUUUCCCAUUAGCUAAUAAGUAACCCAACUAAUAAAUUUAAAAUUACAUGAUUUUAUAAUUUCAAAGUGGCCGUAAAUGAAGUGUGUAAAUAAAUAAACAUAUGUAGGCGACCAUCACGCUACCAUCACUGGGCUCGAAGGGAACCAUCGAGAAGCGAGAAACCAGUGGCGGGAAACUGAGCACCAGAGCACAUUUAUCCGGGAAUGACUUCAGUGUUGUAUCACGUAGUAAAUAAUUCCUUUGUGGCAUUGUCUUGGUUGGCUUUGCAGCAUUUGGCCGUCGUCCUUUUGUCCCCCAAUCUCUUCGUGAAAUCCCAGAACUCCCCGGACUGCCAUCCCACGGUUGUCUAGUGGGUGUUUACGUGCUUUGAAGGAUGGGGACGCGGAUGGGGAUUGGACUGUGUGGAAAUUGGUCUAGCGGAGAUUGGGGGUUGAGUCUUUUAUUGUUACGUGGCAAAUACAACAUAAAACGAACGUGUAAA